GCUUAUUCUCUGCUGAGAUUUUCCAUAGCUAGAGCCUGGAUAAAAACUAUAAACCCACAGGACGUUUCUUUCAGUAGGUCGGUCUGAGGAGACACCAAGAGUUUCUGUAGAAGACUGGGACGUGCUUUGUGCAAUGUGCCCUGUUUCUACGAGGGACCCCGGGGUCUGAUCCAAGGUCCACUGCUGCCAGUGGAAGGAGAAGGGGAGAAAGCAGGAGGUCCAAAAACCUUGGACCCAGCUUAAUAGUGGGACUUGAGCUGGAAUCCAAGAGAAUUGGUGACAUAUGUUUAUUAGAAACUGUCAAUUUGGGAACUGCUGCUUUAUCAUUACUUAACUAGGAAUUUACACAUCUUCUUGGGACCAGACUUCCCCAUGGACCAAUUUUAUUUAGAGAAUCUCAAUCAGCAGCGACUCGUCCGUCCCAGCACCCUUCAUCGCCUUCCGAAGCUCCCGUGCCUCGUACUCGCAGGGAAGGUCCAGCAGAGCCAGCACAGCCUUCUCGAAAUUGCCACUCAGAUGAACACACGAUCUCCAGAGGCUGACACCAGUGCUGGAGCCGGUCCCAGGAGCACCCCGUGGACCUCACUUCCCCCAGGAGCAUGAGAGGGCAGCGGUACCUACAGCUCUGCUGCUCCUCUCCCAGCUAUCCAGGCUGCCCAGGCAGGCCAAUAUAAACAGAUGUUUGCACUGAAUGAAGCUGCUGGAAGGCAUUAGUCAAUGUUCUGGAGGUGGUUGUGUUUUUGACUGGUCCCUGAAGAUCUGGGAGAGGACAUACACCCAUGCCCUUUAUCUGGCCUCACUGGCUUGACCCCAUGACUGCCAUAUCAGCCUUGACAGCUUCAUGGCCCUAUUGUAAUCCUAAUGUUUACCCUAAUCCUCUGCAGCCGUGCAGUGAACACACCAGAUCUUACCAGUCUUUGAGGAACAAGCUGUCUUCCCUUCCCAUUUAUCUUAAUCCUAUUAAACUCCAUGGGUGUGCAUGUGCUUUGAGUCAGUGACAGAAAGAAUAAAGAUUCACUGAAAA